rnacentral:tRNA from 1 species
GCGGGUGUAGCUCAGUUGGUUAGAGCGCUGGCCUGUCACGCCGGAGGCCGCGGGUUCAAGUCCCGUCACUCGCGCCA